GGGGUUGUGGCUCCACGGUAGAGCGCCCACCUAGCACAUGUGAGGCCCUGGGUUCGAACCUCAGCACCACA
rnacentral:tRNA from 1 species